rnacentral:lncRNA from 1 species
GUUGAUUCAACGCCUUGUUGAAAUUUUCUGGGUUCCUCUUUAUUACAUGCCUUGAAGAAUCUUUGUCUUUACAUUCUCGACGGAAUGCUUCGGUUCCAAUCUGGUUUGAUCGUCUUUCUUGCUGAAGCGCUGCUCCAAAUGAAUGCUUUUUUUAAGGCCUUGGAAUCAUCAUCUGUGCGAGCGUACUCAAAGCCAACAUCGGUCUGCAAUAUGGGGCCUACACACAUUUUUCUGUUUUCCCAUUGUCAUCUACCGGCAAAUCGUUCAAAUUGGUAAAU